CGGCGAGCGAAGCGGGAUGAGACCGAGAUGAAAAUCCCUUCGGGGAGUUGUAGUCUGAUUUAUGUUGAGCAGUGAAUGUAAGUCGCAUGGAAUUGUGUACCGUGGAGGGUGAGAGUCCCGUCCAACAUUCACUUUCUCGUACGACAUAAAUUCAACCGAGUCGGGUAGCUUGAGAUCGCUGCUCUAAUAGGUGGUAAACUUCAUCUAAGUCUAAAUACCGAACAAGUACCGUGAGGGAAAGAUGGAAAGCACUUUGAAAAGAGGGUGAAAAGUACCUGAAACCGCCACGGGGGAAGCGUAUUGCAUCAGUGUGGUGCGGCGUUGUUCAGCAACGUGUUGGAAUGGCUGUUGAAUUGUAGAUGAUGGUGAGGGCUCCCGAGGAUNUUCAACGAAAUGAUGCGAUUCGACCCGUCUUGAAACACGGACCAAGGAGUUUAGCAUUACUGCGAGUCGAAGAGUGAAGGCGAAGUGAAAGCGAAGGUUGAGGAGGUGUUGCGUCAUUGACAAAAUAUCCUACCUAGAGCAGUAAUGCUGAGACCCGAAAGAUGGUGAACUAUGCCGGAGUAGGGCAAAGCCAGAGGAAACUCUGGUGGAGGCUCGUAGCGAUGCUGACGUGCAAAUCGCUCGUCGAACUUGGGUAUAGGGGCGAAAGACUAAUCGAACCAUCUAGUAGCUGGUUCCCUCCGAAGUUUCUCUCAGGAUAGCGGGCCGACUUGUUUUGUGUGGUAAAGCGAAUGAUUAGCGUAUUUGGGGAUGUAAUAUCUUCGGUCGAUUCUCAAACUUUAAAUACGCAAGAUAGAGGUGGUUGCUUGGAAAACGUCGGCCCUGUGGGCCACUUUUGGUAAGCAGAACUGGCGAUAUGGGAUGAACCAUAAGUUUGGUUAAGGCGUCAAAAUACCCGCUUAAAGAUCCCACAAAAGGUGUUGGUUCAUCUAGACAGCAGGACGGUGGCCAUGGAAGUCGGAAUCCGCUAAGGAGUGUGUAACAACUCACCUGCCGAAUGAACUAGCCCUGAAAAUGGAUGACGCUAGCGGGUUGCCGACACCAGACCGUUUCGAUAAGAUCGAAAUGAGUAGGAGGGCGUGGCGGUAGGAUGAGACGCAAGUCUAUCUGAAACGGCCGCUAGUGCAGAUCUUGGUGGUAGUAGCAAAUAUUCAAGCGAGAUCCUUGAAGGGCGAAGCGGGGAAGGGUUCCACGCGAACAUUGAUUGGGCGUGGGUGAGUCGUUCCUAAGCCGGGUGGUAAUCGUUCUUCGGCGAAAGGGAAGCGGGUUAAAAUUCUCGCACACGGAUGUGGAGGCGGUGACGCAAAUUGAGGUGGAGACGUUAGCGGUGGCACUGGGCAGAGUUUUCUUUUCUGUUUAACCUGUGCACUCUGUGGAAUCCGAUUAUCGGGCGAAACAGGUGCUGGGAAGAGCGUCGGGGCGUCCCCGGCGUCCAGUACGCCACCGAUAGCCCUUGAAAAUCCAUCUGCAAUUCACGCCGUGGCGUACCGAUAACCGCAUCAGGUCCCCAAGGUGAACAGCCUCUGCUCAAUAUGAACAAUGCAGGUAAGGGAAGUCGGCAAAAUAGACCCGUAACUUUGGGAAAAGGGUUGGCUCUAGUGGGGUGAAGGUUAACUGUGGCAACGACCUUCAGCAUGCUCCAAACUAGAACUGCAACGGGCAAAGGGAAUCCGACUGUUUAAUUAAAACAAAGCAUUGCGAUGGCCGAGGUCGGUGUAGACGCAAUGUGAUUUCUGCUCAGUGCUCUGAAUGUCAAAGUGAAGAGAUUCAAACAAGCGCGGGUAAACAGCGGGAGUAACUAUGACUCUCUUAAGGUAGCCAAAUGCCUCGUCAUCUAAUUAGUGACGCGCAUGAAUGGAUUAACGAGAUUCCUACUGUCCCUAUCUGCUUCUAGCGAAACCACAGCCGAGGGAACGGGCUCGGCGAAAUCGGCGGGGAAAGAAGACCCUGUUGAGCUUGACUCUAUUCUAAUUUUGUGACGCAAGUUAGGAGGUGUAGCAUAGGUGGGAGACUCGACAAUGAAAUACCACUACUCUUAAUCUUGUUUUACUUAUGGCAUUAGACUGCACGAUCCCCCUUGGAGCAGCGUGCCUGACAUAUUUAGGAGGGGAGUUUGGCUGGGGCGGCACAUCUUCUACAAGACAACGAAGGUGUCCAAAGAUAAGCUCAGUGAGAACAGAAAUCUCACGUAGCGCAAAAGGGUAAAAGCUUGUUUGAUUUCGAUUUUCAGUGUGAGUUGAAAACGCGAAAGCGUGGCCUAUCGAUCCUUUCACAAUUCGAGGUUUGAAGCGA
rnacentral:rRNA from 1 species